CAAAAGAGGUAUUGCGGGAUCC
rnacentral:misc_RNA from 1 species